AGACCCGAAACCCGGUGAUCUAGCCAUGGGCAGGUUGAAGGUUGGGUAACACUAACUGGAGGACCGAACCGACUAAUGUUGAAAAAUUAGCGGAUGACCUGUGGCUGGGGGUGAAAGGCCAAUCAAACCGGGAGAUAGCUGGUUCUCCCCGAAAGCUAUUUAGGUAGCGCCUCGUGAAUUCAUCUCCGGGGGUAGAGCACUGUUUCGGCUAGGGGGCCAUCCCGGCUUACCAACCCGAUGCAAACUGCGAAUACCGGAGAAUGUUAUCACGGGAGACACACGGCGGGUGCUAACGUCCGUCGUGAAGAGGGAAACAACCCAGACCGCCAGCUAAGGUCCCAAAGUCAUGGUUAAGUGGGAAACGAUGUGGGAAGGCCCAGACAGCCAGGAUGUUGGCUUAGAAGCAGCCAUCAUUUAAAGAAAGCGUAAUAGCUCACUGGUCGAGUCGGCCUGCGCGGAAGAUGUAACGGGGCUAAACCAUGCACCGAAGCUGCGGCAGCGACACUCAGGUGUUGUUGGGUAGGGGAGCGUUCUGUAAGCCUGCGAAGGUGGCCUGUGAGGGUUGCUGGAGGUAUCAGAAGUGCGAAUGCUGACAUAAGUAACGAUAAAGCGGGUGAAAAGCCCGCUCGCCGGAAGACCAAGGGUUCCUGUCCAACGUUAAUCGGGGCAGGGUGAGUCGACCCCUAAGGCGAGGCCGAAAGGCGUAGUCGAUGGGAAACGGGUUAAUAUUCCCGUACUUGGUGUUACUGCGAAGGGGGGACGGAGAAGGCUAUGUUGGCCGGGCGACGGUUGUCCCGGUUUAAGCGUGUAGGUGUGUGUUCCAGGUAAAUCCGGUUCACUUUAACACUGAGGCGUGAUGACGAGGCACUACGGUGCUGAAGCAACAAAUGCCCUGCUUCCAGGAAAAGCCUCUAAGCAUCAGGUAACAUCAAAUCGUACCCCAAACCGACACAGGUGGUCAGGUAGAGAAUACCAAGGCGCUUGAGAGAACUCGGGUGAAGGAACUAGGCAAAAUGGUGCCGUAACUUCGGGAGAAGGCACGCUGACAUGUAGGUGAAGUGAUUUACUCAUGGAGCUGAAGUCAGUCGAAGAUACCAGCUGGCUGCAACU
rnacentral:rRNA from 1 species